rnacentral:rRNA from 1 species
UACGUAGGGGGCAAGCGUUAUCCGGAUUCACUGGGUGUAAAGGGAGCGUAGACGGCGACGCAAGUCUGGAGUGAAAGCCCGGGGCCCAACCCCGGGACUGCUCUGGAAACUGCGUGGCUGGAGUGCAGGAGGGGCAGGCGGAAUUCCUGGUGUAGCGGUGAAAUGCGUAGAUAUCAGGAGGAACACCGGUGGCGAAGGCGGCCUGCUGGACUGCAACUGACGUUGAGGCUCGAAAGCGUGGGGAGCAAACAGG